GGAUUAUGGCUCGGUGGUAGAGUGCUUGCCUAGCAUGCAUGAGGUACUGGGUUCAAUCCUCAGCACCA
rnacentral:tRNA from 1 species